CCAAUAGCGUAUAUUAAAGUUGUUGCAGUUAAAAAGCUCGUAGUUGAACUUCAGGCCUGGCUGGACGGUCCGCCUUCCGGGCGAGUACUGUCUGUGGUCGGGUCCUACCUUCUGGCGAAGCGUCAUGGUCUUAACCGGCCGUGGCGGGGAACCAGGACUUUUACUGUGAAAAAAUUAGAGUGUUCAAAGCAGGCAAUUUCGCUUGGAUACAUUAGCAUGGAAUAAUGGAAUAGGACAAUGGUUCUAUUUGUUGGUUUCUAGGACUGUUGUAAUGAUUAAUAGGGAUAGUUGGGGGCAUUAGUAUUCAAUUGUCAGAGGUGAAAUUCUUGGAUUUAUUGAAGACUAACUACUGCGAAAGCAUUUGCCAAGGAUGUUUUCAUUAAUCAAGAACGAAAGUUAGGGGAUCGAAGACGAUCAGAUACCGUCGUAGUCUUAACCAUAAACUAUGCCGACUAGGAAUCGGGCGAUGUUGAAAAAAUGACGCGCUCGGCACCUCAUG
rnacentral:misc_RNA from 1 species